UACGUAGGCAGCGAGCGUUGUUCGGAAUUACUGGGCGUAAAGAGUGUGUAGGCGGUGCUCUAAGUUCGGUGUGAAAUCUCCCGGCUUAACUGGGAGGGUGCGCCGGAAACUGGAGUGCUCGAACGUGGGAGAGGAAAGCGGAAUUCCCGGUGUAGCGGUGAAAUGCGUAGAUAUCGAGAGGAACACCUGAGGUGAAGACGGGUUGCUGGGCCGACACUGACGCUGAGGCGCGAAAGCCAGGGUAGCAAACGGG
rnacentral:rRNA from 1 species